GCGCGGUUAGCUCAGUGGUGGAGCGCUUCGUUGACAUCGAAGAGGACAGAAGUUCGAUCCUUCUACCGCGCA
rnacentral:tRNA from 1 species